UGAGGGGAACCGCCUGAACUGAAACAUCUAAGUAGGGCGAGGAAGAGAAAUCAACUGAGAUUCCGUAAGUAGUGGCGAGCGAACGCGGAAGAGGCCAAACCGAGAGUAGUAAUACUUUCGGGGUUCGGACAGAAUACGGUAUUGUAAAGGUUUAGUGGAAUGGAAUGGGAAGUCCAACCGAAGAAGGUGAGAGUCCUGUACACGAAAAGCCUGAACAGCCAUCUGUAUCCAGAGUACCGCCGGACACGUGAAACCCGGUGGGAAUACGGGGGGACCAUCCUCCAAGCCUAAAUACUACUCGGUGACCGAUAGUGAAGAAGUACUGUGAAGGAAAGGUGAAAAGUACCCCUGACGGGGAGUGAAAAAGAACCUGAAACCUUGUGUUUACAAGCACCGAAAGCUCAUCAAAGAGCGAUCGGGUACCUUUUGUAGAAUGGUCCGGCGAGUGAAUGUAACCGGCGAGGUUAAGCACUUAAGGUGUGAAGCCGCAGCGAGAGCAAGUCUGAAUAGGGCGUAUGAAGUCGGUUGUAUUCGACCCGAAACCGGGUGACCUACCCAUGGUCAGGUUGAAGUAAAGGUAAAACUUUAUGGAGGACCGAACCGACUCCCGUUGAAAUGGUAGCGGAUGAACUGUGGGUAGCGGAGAAAUUCCAAUCGAACCCGGAGAUAGCUGGUUCUCUCCGAAAUAGCUUUAGGGCUAGCCUUGAAAUAGAUUACCGGAGGUAAAGCACUGAAUUGGCUAGGGGCCGAGAGGUUACUGAACCUUAUCAAACUAAGAAUGCCGGAUAAUCGUUUUUCAGGAGUCAGACAGUGGGAGAUAAGUUUCAUUGUCAAAAGGGAAACAGCCCAGACCCACAGCUAAGGUCCCCAAGUAUAGUUAAGUGGAAAAGGAUGUGGAAUUGCACAGACAACCAGGAUGUUGGCUUAGAAGCAGCCACUCAUUAAAAGAGUGCGUAAUAGCUCACUGGUCGAGUGACUCUGCGCCGAAAAUUUAACGGGGCUAAACUAUACACCGAAGCUUGGGAUACAUCUAAUGUAUGGUAGGAGAGCGUUCUGUAUGGGGAGAAGUCGUAGCGAAAGCGGCGGUGGACUAUACAGAAGUGAGAAUGCCGGAAUAAGUAGCGAGAAUUAAGUGAGAAUCUUAAUGGCCGAAAGUCUAAGGUUUUUGGAGGAAGGUUCGUCCGCUCCAAGUAAGUCGGGAGCUAAGGUCAGGCCGAAAGGCGUAGCCGAUGCACAUACGGUUGAUAUUCCGUAACCAUCUGUAAUUUAAGCAAAGGGACACUUCAAAAGGGUGUGACCCGGGCGUUGGUUGACCCGGGCGUAAGGGACCGAAAUUAGAGUAGGGAAGCACACUUAGCUGAAGGCGAGAAAAGCUUUGCGUAUAGAAACAGAUGCCCGUACCGCAAACCGACACAGGUGGACAGGAAGAGAAUUCUAAGGCCAGCGGGAGAAGGGUAGUUAAGGAACUCGGCAAAUUGACUCCGUAACUUCGGAAUAAGGAGUGCUCGAAAGAGCCGCAGAGAAUAGGCCCAGGCGACUGUUUAGCAAAAACACAGGUCUCUGCCAAAUCGAAAGAUGAAGUAUAGGGGCUGACACCUGCCCGGUGCCGGAAGGUUAAGAGGAGGAGUGAGAGCUCCGAAUUGAAGCCCCGGUAAACGGCGGCCGUAACUAUAACGGUCCUAAGGUAGCGAAAUUCCUUGUCGGGUAAGUUCCGACCCGCACGAAUGGUGUAACGAUCUGGGCACUGUCUCAACUACCCACCCGGCGAAAUUGUAGUACCGGUGAAGAUGCCGGUUACCUGCGGCAAGACGGAAAGACCCCAUGGAGCUUUACUGUAGCCUGAUAUUGGGUUUCGGAAAUCUAUGUACAGGAUAGGCGGGAGACUGGGAAACAUGAGCGUCAGCUUGUGUGGAGUCGAUGUUGGGAUACCGCCCUUAGGUUUCUGGAAUUCUAACCUGCGGCCGUGAAUCCGGUCGGGGGACAUUGUCAGGUGGGCAGUUUGACUGGGGCGGUCGCCUCCGAAAAGGUAACGGAGGCGCUCAAAGGUUAGCUCAGCACGGACGGAAACCGUGCCUCUGAGUGUAAACGCAAAAGCUAGCCUAACUGCGAGGGUGACGGCCCGAGCAGUAACGAAAGUUGGAGUUAGUGAUCCGGCGGUAUGUGAAUGGAAAUGCCGUCGCUCAACGGAUAAAAGCUACCCUGGGGAUAACAGGCUGAUCUCCCCCAA
rnacentral:rRNA from 1 species